rnacentral:rRNA from 1 species
CCCUUAGAUGUCCGGGGCUGCACGCGCGCUACACUGAAGGAAUCAGCGUGCUAAAACCAUUGUCGAAAGGCAUUGGUAAACCCAUUAAAAUCCUACGUGAUUGGGAUCGGGAAUUGCAAUUAUUUCCCUUGAACGAGGAAUUCCCAGUAAGUGUGGGUCAUAAGCUCGCGUUGAUUACGUCCCUGCCCUUUGUACACACCGCCCGUCGCUGCCCGGGACUGAGCCGUUUCGAGAAAAGCGGGGACUGCUGCUGUCGGGGCCUUCGGGCCUUGGCUUCGGUGGAAACCGCUUUAAUCGCAGUGGCUUGAACCGGGCAAAAGUCGUAACA